AUGCCUCAUGUCGAGGGUGCUGGUGCAAUUCCUAUUGGUGGUGGUCAAGUGGGGUUCGCGAAGCUGCAGGGUGAGGAUUUUGAGUACUACAUGCAGACCUACUCGAUCAUGUUGGGCCGCAACAGCAAGAAAUCGUCGGUGGAUGUCGAUCUCUCCAGUCUUGGUGGGGGGAUGAACAUCUCGCGCCACCACGCGCGGAUAUUCUACGACUUCCAGCGCCACCGUUUCGCGCUUGAUUUCAUCGGCAAGAAUGGCUGCCAUGUUGAGGGCGUCCUGCAUCUCCCUGGGAAUCCUCCUGUUAAGCUUGACUCGCAGGACCUCCUUCAGAUUGGGGACAAGAAGUUUUACUUCCUCCUGCCCACGAGGUCUAUCUUUGCGUCACUUGCCGCUGCUCGACAAGCCCCUGUUAUUCCCUCACAGGUCUCGCCGCCAUCGUUUGUGCGGCCAGGGCACCUCGUGUGUCCAAUUUCAGUGACCACUUCUCUGAAGCUGAUUAUGGCCGGGACAGUGAUGACAUUGGGAAUGGUGUCAGUGAAACUGGAAUGA
rnacentral:rRNA from 1 species